UACGAAGGGGGCUAGCGUUGCUCGGAAUUACUGGGCGUAAAGCGCACGUUGGCGGCUUUCUAAGUCGGGGGUGAAAUCCUGGAGCUCAACUCCAGAACUGCCUUCGAUACUGGAAAGCUCGAGUCCGGGAGAGGUGAGUGGAACUGCGAGUGUAGAGGUGAAAUUCGUAGAUAUUCGCAAGAACACCAGUGGCGAAGGCGGCUCACUGGCCCGGUACUGACGCUGAGGUGCGAAAGCGUGGGGAGCAAACAGG
rnacentral:rRNA from 1 species